GUAAAAGAGUAAAGAAAUAAUCGCGCGUGGCAUUAUUCCUGUAUAGAACUCUCUAAUGAUGAGAGGUGAAUUCUUCCCACACCAGUAUAUCAACCUCACUCUACUAUAAACUUUAAACUAAAUAUUAAAAUUUUGUUGCAAUGUCUGUUGAAUGGAAGAGAAAAUUCAUCAUAGAGCAACAUGAGAAGGGCAUGCGUCCACCUGAAAUAUUCAAGUUAGGAAAAACCUCAAAAUUAACAGAAUGUUGAUAAAAAGGACGAUUGAUCGUUACCAGGAAACUUCUUCGAUCAAAGAUCAGGCCGUCCCCGCACCUCCAGAACACCUAAACUCAUCAAAAAUGUUAGGGAAAAAAAUCAGACGAAAUCCAAGAAGAUCCAUGAGGAGAAUGGCAAAAAAAGCACAAACAUCGCCAAGGACUAUGCGGAGAA
rnacentral:misc_RNA from 1 species